rnacentral:rRNA from 1 species
ACGAACGCUGGCGGCGUGCUUAACACAUGCAAGUCGAGCGGUAAGGCCCUUUCGGGGGGUACACGAGCGGCGAACGGGUGAGUAACACGUGGGUGACCUGCCCUCAGCUCUGGGAUAAGCCUGGGAAACUGGGUCUAAUACUGGAUAUGACUCCACGGUGCAUGUCGUGGGGUGGAAAGCCUUGUGCGGCUGAGGAUGGGCCCGCGGCCUAUCAGCUUGUUGGUGGGGUGAUGGCCUACCAAGGCGACGACGGGUAGCCGGCCUGAGAGGGCGACCGGCCACACUGGGACUGAGACACGGCCCAGACUCCUACGGGAGGCAGCAGUGGGGAAUCUUGCGCAAUGGGCGAAAGCCUGACGCAGCGACGCCGCGUGA